UGAGUUUGAUGAAAUAAAAUUUUGUUGUUGAAUGUGACUAUGCUUCUUUGCUUCGCACGAUGAGAGAGAAAGGGGGAACGAUCGAGCUUCCAAAAUCGACGACUCUCGAGCCAAUCAAUAGUUCGGGUCCGGCGCCGACAAUACUUCCAAUACUGAGAGAGAAUGGGUACUUACCUUCUUCAAAAUUGAGUACUUGAUCAUAAAGCGUGAGGCUUUGGUUAUGAUGUUUUUGAUGUUGGGUUGUCAUUGAGCGGUAGGCAGGCAAAGAAGCUCAAAGUUGUGGUACUCGAGCAGCUCAACCGACAGUGACACUAAUGACACAAAGAAAGUUGGUGCUGAAGAAGAUUUUGACGAUUUUCUUAGGUGGCUUGAAAGAUACGAAAUGGAAGCCCGAGUAGUGGAUCCAAAGAGGGGUUGGGGAUUUCAUGGUGUGCACAAGAGAUACUUAGGAUGACGGUACAAACUUUGAGCUGACAAAGUUUGAUAAUGAAAAUAUAAUCUUUGAGCUGUUAUGGGAGUGUAGGCUACGUGUUUGUGAUAUAUGUACAGAGUUUGCUAUUCUGUAUCCUUUUGAUCAUCAAGGAAUUGUGAUAUCUGUAUUUGUCCGCACUCUCUGCAGUACAUCAAUCCUAUUCUCAAGAAUUCACAACAUCGUUUGAAUGGGAACUUUUAUAUGCAAUAGAGAGGGUUUUGACUCUUCAAUGUUUAUAUGUGUGACUAUGAAUGUUCUAUUGCUUUUUCCACCUGUGGUAUGUAUACAGUGCAGUCAUUCCCUCUCCCAUGUUGGUUCAUAUUUCAAAAAACCUUCUACUUACAUACGUUAUUGCUAAUAUAAGUUACAUAUUCUUGCUGAGCUGCUGUGUUUUGGGGAUUGAGAGUUCUAUAAAGAUUGCUAGCAUGCAAAAUCAGUUGAGGAGGUAGGUUCUAUGUCCUGUGAAAUGCAUUAGUAGUUCGUUCUCUUACAGAUCUUUGCUGACAUGAAAUUUCCGACCAUUGACUUUUGUUGUACGGCUCUUCUGGCUUUUUGGCUGCAUCAGUAUUGCUUAGGCCUCAUUGAUUAGAUUACUCAAUAUCUCUGUUUUUCUUAUUCAAAUCUUCAAAUUUAGAUACCACUAUAUUUUUUCAACACUUUCUUGGUCCAAAUUUUCUGUUUCUAAUAAUAUCAAGAAGAAAACAAAGACCUUAGAUACAGAUAAAAUAUCAAGAAGAAAACAAAAAUCUUAGAUACAGAUAAAUCAAUACAAACUGUAUAUAAACAGUGGUCAAUUUCUAAUGCCUUCUCCAAUAACAUUGAUUAAGGAGAUUAAUGCUCUAAAGUAUAAAAACAUAUUUUUUUUAAGCAUUACCUCCUCUUAUUCUAAAUUAAAGUUCUCAUUAGAGAAAUGACCAAAAUAUUACUUCUGUUGUUGUGUCUGUUUGAUAU